GAGUUUGAUCUUGGCUCAGAUUGAACGCUGGCGGCAGGCCUAACACAUGCAAGUCGAGCGGAUGACGGGAGCUUGCUCCUUGAUUCAGCGGCGGACGGGUGAGUAAUGCCUAGGAAUCUGCCUGGUAGUGGGGGACAACGUUUCGAAAGGAACGCUAAUACCGCAUACGUCCUACGGGAGAAAGCAGGGGACCUUCGGGCCUUGCGCUAUCAGAUGAGCCUAGGUCGGAUUAGCUAGUUGGUGGGGUAAUGGCUCACCAAGGCGACGAUCCGUAACUGGUCUGAGAGGAUGAUCAGUCACACUGGAACUGAGACACGGUCCAGACUCCUACGGGAGGCAGCAGUGGGGAAUAUUGGACAAUGGGCGAAAGCCUGAUCCAGCCAUGCCGCGUGUGUGAAGAAGGUCUUCGGAUUGUAAAGCACUUUAAGUUGGAGGAAGGCAGUAAGUUAAUACCUUGCUGUUUUGACGUUGCCGACAGAAUAAGCACCGGCUAACUCUGUGCCAGCCGCCG
rnacentral:rRNA from 1 species